UUGUUGCACCAGAAGCAGGUAGCUUAACCGCGAGGAGGGCGCUUGCCACGGUGUGGCCGAUGACUGGGGUGAAGUCGUAACAAGGUAGCCGUAUCGGAAGGUGCGGCUGGAUCACCUCCUUU
rnacentral:rRNA from 1 species